ensembl:lncRNA
UGACACUUGAUAUUCUGGAUUUCCCCUGAUUGUCAAUGCGAUUCCAAUGUGGGUCAAAAGAGUCAGAGUUUUUCAGGGGCCAAGGGCACUGUCUGCCGGUAUCAAAUAUUGUGAUAACUAACCCAAGACAGAUCAGAGCCUGUCGUUUCCAAAUGAAUCAUAGUGCUCAGAACAAGCAAGGAGGUGUGCAGAGCCAAGAGCCACUUCCAGCCACUGGGCUUCCUCUCAGUGAAUGGAAACACCAACCGGAUGCUUCAUAUCUAUACAUCCUGUCAACUAUCUGAUUUAUUGUUCCAUCCAUGGUUGCCAUGUUUGCCAUUUUCCUGCAAAUUGGGCUACUUUGAAAACAAUGUCAGGGGUGAAAAUGUAUUGGUCGCGGGCGGAGGGUUUUGGGAUACUUCUAAAUCGCAUUGCGGCCGCCAUGGCAUAUCUCUUAAACAAAUAUAUUUCACUGUGACCUGCUGCCGCAGACUAUCAGGCAGUGAGGAUUGAGUGAGUUGAGUGAGUGUGAGUUGAGUGAGUGUGAGUUGAGUGAGUUGAGUGAGUGAGAGGACCAGAGGACCGGAGGGGUGUGUGUACGUGGAGAGCGCUGGUUGAGAGAGUCCGGCAGCAGAGACACGGAGACAGAGCAGCACACAAGCACGUCGUGACAACUUUUUACCAAGUCUAUUUAGACUGGUCAUUAUGGAGGCACCCUUUUUCCAUAAAUCGUUAAACACUCUAGAAGUGAUAUAACGGCGACAAAGCAUUGGAAAAUGACUUUAGGCACACGAGAGCUCUUUAGAUACAUUUGCUCAGAGGUGGUUUAAAAUACACUGCAUUCUAAUGUCUCCGCAACGCGGAGUGCCUGGACACAGCCCGUAGCUGUGGUAUAUUGGCCAUAUAUCACAAAACCCAGAGGCUAUUAUAAACGGGUUAUUAUAAACUGGUUACCAACGUAAUUAGAGCAGUAAAAAUAAAUGUUUUGUCAUACCCAUGGUAUACAGUCUGAUAUACCACGGCUGUCAGCCAAUCAGCAUUCAGGGCUCAAACCACCCAGGUUAUAUUUACAAUUAUUAACUGGGUGGUUUGAGCCCUGAAUAGUGAUUGGUUGAAAGCCGUGGUAUAUCAGACGUGUACGACGGGAAUGACAAAAACGUUUUACUGUGCUAAUUAUGUUGGUCACCAGUUUAUAAUAGCAAUAAGGCAUGUCAGGGGUUUGUGGUUUAUGGUCAAUAUACCACGGCUAAAGGCUGUGUCCUAAGUACAGUCCAUAUACCACACCUCAUCGUGCCUUAUUGCUUAAGCAUAGCACUCUAAACAAGUUAAAUUGACAUCCACUGAUGAAAAUGAUCUGGAGAGUUUAAUAAGGGCAAUUUAUCUUCUCUCGUGACAUAUUCUUAAACUCGCAAUAAUUAUUAUUUUGAUGGAAAACCAUAGUUUGCUUCUUAGCCUGUCAGUUAAAAUGAUAUUCCUUAAUUUGCUUAAUAACUUUAUAGGAAAAGGAUUUAUUGGAUAAAUGUGGCAACUUCUCUCUUGCUGCAACAUUUAUUGGGGUCUAGUUCAGCCCUUUGGGCAGGUUGUCAUUGGUCGAUACAUUUGAGCUAGAUCUGGCAACCCUGGUUCCAUCUGUGCAGGUUUUCAUGGGUCAUUGGUCGAUACAUUUGAGCUAGAUCUGGCAACCCUGGUACCAUCUGUGCAGGUAACGUUAUCCUAGUUAGCUGGAUAACGGCUUCGACGCUUUCACCAAAUUGUGCCGAAAAAGGGUAAAUUACUGGGAGCUUCAUUGUCUGUUCACAAUGCACAUUAGUAACAUCAGCUGUUAAAAAUACAUUUAAAAAAAAACAAACAGAAUCUGUGGCAUUAUUUAGGAUGCUGAAUACAGAAGAUUAUAUUAUACUAAAUAAAACUAUUUAUUUGAACUGAGCAGAAAGUGUGGUUUCACUUUGUUUUCCCCUCUAAAUUGUGUUCCUUCAACUGGUUUCGACUUCAGAUCCCUGAAUGUUCCAUACUCUACCUGCUAAACUACCAGUCAGGUGAUACUUUUUGUCCAAAAUCCUAACUAUAUUUGUAAGUGCUGUGUCCGGGUCAGUGUUUGAAAGCAGCGACAACGGCCAAAUCAGUGGAAUCUCUCAUUUUGCAACACAUGGUGUGGAAAAGCACAUGAUCAAACUAAGCUUCUGACCUCAUUGAUGAUAGUGACACAUGCUUCCGCACACUGCUCCGAAGUUAGCUGCUUAGCGAUUUCAACGCAUGGCUCGCAGCUCCGGUAUCAUCACUAGCUACCGGUGUCGCCCCCGCCUGAUGUGUACCGGAGUCUAGACUCCUAUCCCGCCUGAUGUGUACCGGAGUCUAGACUCCUAUCCCGCCUGAUGUGUACCGGAGUCUAGACUCCUAUCCCGCCUGAUGUGUACCGGAGUCUAGAC